GAUAAACGCUGGCGGCGUGCCUAAUACAUGCAAGUCGAGCGAACGGACGAGAAGCUUGCUUCUCUGAUGUUAGCGGCGGACGGGUGAGUAACACGUGGAUAACCUACCUAUAAGACUGGGAUAACUUCGGGAAACCGGAGCUAAUACCGGAUAAUAUUUUGAACCGCAUGGUUCAAAAGUGAAAGACGGUCUUGCUGUCACUUAUAGAUGGAUCCGCGCUGCAUUAGCUAGUUGGUAAGGUAACGGCUUACCAAGGCAACGAUGCAUAGCCGACCUGAGAGGGUGAUCGGCCACACUGGAACUGAGACACGGUCCAGACUCCUACGGGAGGCAGCAGUAGGGAAUCUUCCGCAAUGGGCGAAAGCCUGACGGAGCAACGCCGCGUGAGUGAUGAAGGUCUUCGGAUCGUAAAACUCUGUUAUUAGGGAAGAACAUAUGUGUAAGUAACUGUGCACAUCUUGACGGUACCUAAUCAGAAAGCCACGGCUAACUACGUGCCAGCAGCCGCGGUAAUACGUAGGUGGCAAGCGUUAUCCGGAAUUAUUGGGCGUAAAGCGCGCGUAGGCGGUUUUUUAAGUCUGAUGUGAAAGCCCACGGCUCAACCGUGGAGGGUCAUUGGAAACUGGAAAACUUGAGUGCAGAAGAGGAAAGUGGAAUUCCAUGUGUAGCGGUGAAAUGCGCAGAGAUAUGGAGGAACACCAGUGGCGAAGGCGACUUUCUGGUCUGUAACUGACGCUGAUGUGCGAAAGCGUGGGGAUCAAACAGGAUUAGAUACCCUGGUAGUCCACGCCGUAAACGAUGAGUGCUAAGUGUUAGGGGGUUUCCGCCCCUUAGUGCUGCAGCUAACGCAUUAAGCACUCCGCCUGGGGAGUACGACCGCAAGGUUGAAACUCAAAGGGAUUGACGGGGACCCGCACAAGCGGUGGAGCAUGUGGUUUAAUUCGAAGCAACGCGAAGAACCAUACCAAAUCUUGACAUCCUUUGACAACUCUAGAGAUAGAGCCUUCCCCUUCGGGGGACAAAGUGACAGGUGGUGCAUGGUUGUCGUCAGCUCGUGUCGUGAGAUGUUGGGUUAAGUCCCGCAACGAGCGCAACCCUUAAGCUUAGUUGCCAUCAUUAAGUUGGGCACUCUAAGUUGACUGCCGGUGACAAACCGGAGGAAGGUGGGGAUGACGUCAAAUCAUCAUGCCCCUUAUGAUUUGGGCUACACACGUGCUACAAUGGACAAUACAAAGGGCAGCGAAACCGCGAGGUCAAGCAAAUCCCAUAAAGUUGUUCUCAGUUCGGAUUGUAGUCUGCAACUCGACUACAUGAAGCUGGAAUCGCUAGUAAUCGUAGAUCAGCAUGCUACGGUGAAUACGUUCCCGGGUCU
rnacentral:rRNA from 1 species